UUACAGAGAAAGAGGUGCAACAGUGGUACAAAGGCUUUAUAAAGGACUGUCCAAGUGGUCAGCUGGAUGCUGUGGGCUUUCAGAAGAUCUACAAGCAGUUCUUCCCUUUUGGUGACCCCACCAAGUUUGCUUCUUUUGUCUUCAACGUCUUUGAUGAAAACAAGGACGGACAAAUAGAGUUCUCC